rnacentral:rRNA from 1 species
GUGGGGAAUAUUGGACAAUGGGCGAAAGCCUGAUCCAGCCAUGCCGCGUGUGUGAAGAAGGUCUUCGGAUUGUAAAGCACUUUAAGUUGGGAGGAAGGGUUGUAGAUUAAUACUCUGCAAUUUUGACGUCACCGACAGAAUAAGCACCGGCUAACUUCGUGCCAGCAGCCGCGGUAAUACGAAGGGUGCAAGCGUUAAUCGGAAUUACUGGGCUUAAAGCGCGCGUAGGUGGUUCAGUAAGUUGGAUGUGAAAUCCCCGGGCUCAACCUGGGAACUGCAUCCAAAACUGCUGAGCUAGAGUACGGUAGAGGGUGGUGGAAUUUCCUGUGUAGCGGUGAAAUGCGUAGAUAUAGGAAGGAACACCAGUGGCGAAGGCGACCACCUGGACUGAUACUGACACUGAUGUGCGAAAGCGUGGGGAGCAAACAGGAUUAGAUACCCCUGUAGUCC